rnacentral:rRNA from 1 species
ACGGAGGGUGCAAGCGUUAAUCGGAAUUACUGGGCGUAAAGCGUGCGUAGGCGGUUUGUUAAGUCAGAUGUGAAAGCCCCGGGCUUAACCUGGGAACUGCAUUUGAUACUGGCAAACUAGAAUGUGGUAGAGGGAAGUGGAAUUCCUCAUGUAGCGGUGAAAUGCGUAGAUAUGAGGAGGAACACCAGUGGCGAAGGCGACUUCCUGGACCAACAUUGACGCUGAGGUACGAAAGCGUGGGUAGCAAACAGG